CGGUGCUUGAGGAGGACUCAGACUGGUCCGUGGUAAGGUGCAAGAACAGCAUUGUGAUUUAGGUUGAAAAUUACAUAUGGUAUGUGGCUGUACAUAUUUGGGAAACGUCUCUAUUUGUGUAGAUUAAGAAGGUGAGAAUUUUACAGAUGAGGGGAUGAGAGUUUUACUGUUGUAGGUCAAAGAUUCCAGUAUCUGUUGUCUAGUUGCUUCUCUUCUGAACUUCUUGG
rnacentral:misc_RNA from 1 species